CGACGGUCACAAUUAUUCUUUGAAUAUCUCAAGACUCAAGGUUCCAAUUAAUCGGAAAGAAAUUUAAGGCCAUUUCGUAUUUUAUCCCAGCCAGACUCAUCACAAUCUUCGCUUGGAGUCCGUAUUGCGCGCGGAAGUUGCUUCGUCUCGUCAGCGGCCUCUUCUCUGGUUUCCUGUUUUAUGCUCACAGCCAGGAUAUGACAAGCAUUUUAUCAAGUUACUCCUGCAAUUGGCCAGGAGUUCAGGAGAAUCGUUUUAAGAGCAGAGUUGAUAAUGUUAAAUAUGUAGGAUGUUCAGGCCUACAUUUCCCUUUCGGGGGAUCAGUAUUUGAUGGUCAAUUCCUUGUUCUUGGUGGCUACAGGGAAAGGCCUAGGCUCCAUAGACCUGUAUUUUCCAGUGCAGUGGACGAUGGUAUUGAACCAGAUGACUCAGAAGACAAAAGUAGAGAGGAAGAAUCUCCAAAAAAUGAAAUUGGAAGAGCAAACAAUGAAUUGUUUCGUGAAAAUUUGGAGAGAAUUGUUGGGACAGAUGAUUCAACCUUCAGUGGAAUAGACCUUGCUACUCUUAUUAGAAAUAAGUAUGGGAGGUCCUAUGAUGUUCAAUUAAUAAAGAAGGAGUUCAUGGGAAGAAAUCUCUUGGCAUUAAAUGUAAUGUGGAAAUACAUGGAGCAGAGAUCCUUUCCACUGACUGAGGAAGAGUAUCUACUGAGGCUUGAUGAUAUUGCAAACACACUGAAAUGUUGGGGAGCUGUCUCACAUAUAAGGAAUAGCCUGGCAAAGUCAAAGGAGCGGCCCCGAAUAGGAAAGGCUGUUAGUAUUUUCAUUGAUAUGGAUGAGACUGGAGGCCGUGCAAAUGAGUGGAUUUACAAGUAAAUAAUUUUGGUGAGCCAGAUUUUUUUGGAUUCCCUUCCUCUGUUCCAGUUUUCUUGUAAUGAAAAAUCUCAUGCUUACCCAUGAAAUUGACCUUACUAUCACUCAUCAAAUUUGGUAAGCUUUAUUCAAUUCACUCUACAUUGUGGAAGUAAAAGAUUCAUUGUUUUGUCGAAGUUUCUGAAGCUGGUGGAACAAUGGAGAUAAAGAAGUCUAGGUGUUGAUGGAUUCAAACAACAAAAAAUGAUGAAGGUGAAGAAGAUAUCGUCCAGAAGUUUGUAACCCUUAACCCAGAUGAUCAAAGGAAUAUACAGGCAUAAAGUAAAGAUGCGAAGGGUUCUUCCCACUGGAAGAAGUGCUUAAUCAUUGGAGUUUUGACUGGUCUACCAAUGAAAUAAGCAGGCUAAAGAGAACUUUUGGAGACUCUGUUCCAUCCCGCAUGGUGGACUACCAUAGUGGUUCUUCUCUUUUUCAAUUUCAGUAAAGACUUGAAUGAGACUAUUGUCAAUGGAUGUCCUUGGAGCUUCAACGACAAUUUUAUCAUCAUGGAGAUAUAUUUGCUGAAUUAA